UACGAAGGGGGCUAGCGUUGCUCGGAAUUACUGGGCGUAAAGCGUGUGUAGGCGGCCAGGCAAGUCGGAUGUGAAAGCCCCGGGCUCAACCCGGGAAGUGCACUCGAUACUGCUUGGCUGGAGUGUGGGAGAGGUUGGUGGAAUUCUCGGUGUAGAGGUGAAAUUCGUAGAUAUCGAGAGGAACACCGGCGGCGAAGGCGGCCAACUGGACCAACACUGACGCUGAGACACGAAAGCGUGGGGAGCAAACAGG
rnacentral:rRNA from 1 species